rnacentral:lncRNA from 1 species
AGCCAACAGGCCAGCUGGGUAUAUAGAAUGGGGGUACAUUAAAAUGGCUGUGUAAAGAGCUGCAGGGGAAGACCCUUUCCUUAUAUUUUCAUGUGGGGGAAAGCCUUUUCUUGAUUAUACCUUGGAGGCUUCUUUCCACACCAUUAUUGCCCUUGGCUCUGGAGCCUCCACAAACAAGUGGAUGUUCCCUUCCCCCAAACUUUUGCAAAGAGUGCAGCUGAUACAUAGAGAAGGAAAAGCAGAGCCCCAUAUCACCAGCCAUGAGCCAACCUGAGAUCUCUUCAAACAUCUGCUGCAUUUAGGCACAUCACAAGACAAGGCUCCACUGAACAGCAACUCUGGACAUUGUCUCCCACAGGUCUGCACCCUGAAAGAUGCACUGGCUCCUUGUUACUUGCCUAUAAAUUCUCUUUUCUUGAAUGUGCUUGCCUGGGAGUGGGCUGAGAAGGCUCGUGGAGCUGGUGUGGUGUUGAGAGGAUCAUUAGUGGUUUUGUGCCACCUGUGAUAAAAAAAGCCUGUGAUUUCCAGUUGAAAGCCCACUGUUGCUCUGAAAACUCAGCUUCUGAGCUUGCUAACAUAGUUUUCUAAAGACUUUCCCAGGACAGUAACUGUAAACAUAGAUAUGUGUACAUUCUUUCUGUUCCACGUCUUGUGAUGGGCAUCUCUCAUGGCCAGUGCAGUGGGAAAGUGUUAUCCUGACCAUCCAAUCCCUGGCCGUGGUCAGAAGCCUAUAAAUCCUGGGAGGAAAAAUAAACUUUCUCUUCCUUUCACCACACCUCGACCUGUGUCCGUGUGAUCUAUUCAUCUUCAGCGGUAACAGCCCACUGUUGCAUGGAGGGUGAGCACCAACCUGUCACCAGGGCCUUGGCACAGGCAAGAUGAGCAUGAGCUUGAGUUUGAGUCUGAGCAAACAAAAACAAGUUUGAGCAUCGUGGCACCAUGGUCUUGCAUCCUUGGGAUUGCUGAGACUCCUUCAGAAGUACAAGGUAAGAAGAGCAUCCCAGUGAAGAAGCUCAGUGCAGAGGUGCCAGCUGUCCUCAGAGCCCUGCUCAGGAGGAGCCAUGCCCUUCUGCAUGUAGGAUUGUGCUACAGCUUCCACGCCAAUAUUCCUACCCUCUGUAUUUGCCUAAUCUUUCAGAUAGUUCAGCUGAGCCUCCUGCUCUCCAGGCUGAGAAAGGAAAAUGGCAGAAGAAUGGUAGUAGUUUAGGAAUAACAGUAUGUAGAGAUGAGAAAAUCAACAUCUGGAAAAGGAAAAAUGUUUGAGGAUUGAUCUCAAUUCGAGAGGAAUCCUAGAAAAUAGGUGCAGGAAAUGACAGGCAUGAGUCUGCGUUUGGGUUUGUUUGCUUCAUGCUGCAGUGAUUUUUGUGUGCCUGGAUCUUUUGAGCUCCUCUGCAAAGCCCAGCCCAGCAGAAUCCUCCACCAGCUGCAGCAAGGGAAAUGCUGCUGAGCUAGUUGGGUUGGAAUAUUCCUGGAUCAUGGGAUGUACAGCUGAGAAAGACAGGGGUUUUGUCUGAACUCCAGUGGUGAGUUCCUGCUUUCCCCAGCUUGGUCUUGGGGUUACCUACUGCUGGCUGUCCAAUACCUCAAGGAAACCUCCAAGAAAGAUGGAGAGACACUGAUUACAAGGAUCUGGAGUGACAGAACAAGGCUGAACAGCUUCAAAGUGAAAGAGAGGGGGUUGAUAUUAGAUGUUACCAUCCUGACUGCUUUGAUAUCCAUGAGGAGCCAGGGUUUUAAAUUUUAUUUGAAGGACAGAAGCUUCUACUUAGCCAAACACUUGGACAUGGUACAGUGUGAGAGCCAAGGAGAGAAACCUCUGUUCUGGCAUGAGUAGUGC